CUUUGGUGAUGUGUCUUCUUCAU
rnacentral:piRNA from 1 species